rnacentral:rRNA from 1 species
GAAUUGNNAUGGGCGAAAGCCUGAUGCAGCAACGCCGCGUGCGCGAUGAAGGCCUUCGGGUCGUAAAGCGCUUUUUGAGGGGAUGAGGAAGGACAGUACCCUCAGAAUAAGGAUCGGCUAACUACGUGCCAGCAGCCGCGGUAAAACGUAGGAUCCGAGCGUUAUCCGAAUUUACUGGGCGUAAAGCGCGUGCAGGCGGUUCGGUAAGUUGGAUGUGAAAUCUCCUGGCUCAACUGGGAGAGGUCGUUCAAUACUGUCGGACUUGAGGAUGGUAGAGGGAGGUGGAAUUCCCGGUGUAGUGGUGAAAUGCGUAGAUAUCGGGAGGAACACCAGUGGCGAAAGCGGCCUCCUGGACCAUUUCUGACGCUCAGACGCGAAAGCUAGGGGAGCGAACGGGAUUAGAAACCCCGGUAGUCCUAGCUGUAAACGAUGUGAACUUGGCGUUGGUGGGGUAAAAGCCAUCAGUGCCGAAGCUAACGCGUUAAGUUCACCGCCUGGGGACUACGGCCGCAAGGUUAAAACUCAAAAGAAUUGACGGA